UGUUUGCUAUGAUGAAAUCAUAAGGACGGUAUCUGAGGAAGUUAGCUCUUGAAAGCCCUUCCGUUGAUUAUACAUCCAAAACUGAUCAAAUGUUCAUCUCAAAAA